CAUGGAAUAAUAAAAUAGGACGUUCGAUCCUAUUUUGUUGGUUUCUAGGAUUGACGUAAUGAUUAAUAGGGAUAGUUGAGGGCAUUAAUAUUCAAUUGUCAAAGGUGAAAUUCUUGGAUUUAUUGAAGACUAACUACUGCGAAAGCAUUUGCCAAGGAUGUUUUCAUUAAUCAAGAACGAAAGUUAGGGGAUCGAAGACGAUCAGAUACCGUCGUAGUCUUAACCAUAAACUAUGCCGACUAGGGAUCGGAUGAUGUUAAUUUUUUAAUAACUCAUUUGGCGCCUUACG
rnacentral:rRNA from 1 species